UUGACGUUAAUUAAUUUUUAACAUUUUUUUUUUUUCAUCGUUGACUCGCCUCUAGAGCCCCAUUGGAUCGACGACAUACAGUCAGAUCAAUCUGGGCUAUACUGAAGCCAGUCCCUUUGAAGUGCAAAUCUGCAACCUCUGGACUUCUUCAGCCAUCCAUUUACAAAAAAGCCGUAGCAUCCCCCCAAAAUGCCCAACAUUUUCAACAGAUUAGUAGUUAAGUUAUUUACUUACUUGUUUGAGUUUGUGUUGUAACCUUUGAAUAAAAUGCCGUAAAAGGAA